rnacentral:lncRNA from 9 species
CCAGAGUGCCCGCUGGCCCAGCCAGAUGCUCUGGGGUCUAUCUGCCUCCCGCUGGCUGGGGCUUUGAGGAAAGAGAGCUGUGGGCAGCGGGAAGGUGGGCAGAGAGGCAGGCAGCUGGGGUCCAGCCAUGCAUCUGCCAGGGCUCCGUCCCGGGGCCCAAGGAGUUCUCCUUCUUCUGCAGGAUCAGUUUCCUUGUAUGUAAAAUGAAAGGUCAGAUUUGAUGGUCUGUGGGUUUCUUCCCAGCUCUGAGAACCCAGCUGUUCUCAGGGAGCAAAGGGCAGUUUGGGCUUGCGGCCUGUGCCCCUGGAGCUGCCAGAGCUUGGCGCCUUCCCACCCUGCCCUCUGGGUCUCCCCGGGGCCAGGCUGCCUGACCCUCAGGGCUCGCCCGCUGCUCUGGCUCCAUCGGUGGGAAGAGCCUUGGUGCAUCGCAGCCAAAAGGCCUGCCAGGUCCUUGAAUCCCACUGUCUCCCAAAUGCGCCAAGUGGGGCCACAAAGAGCUUAUCCAAGGCCAUGAGCAAGCCAGGGACCAGCUUCCCUGUGUUUGCUCCUAAAGGAACCCUCUAAUGGGAGAGCUAGGAGCAGCCGGGGAAGAAGGGUUCCUUGCUGCCUUGUCUCUCUCACCCCCAUCACCACCAGCACUGGCUCGGACCCUCCCCCUCCCCCUCCCUCAGCUCAGUGCUAAUGGGCUUUUUGCACUCACUCAUUCUCAGAGGCAGGAUCGUGCCAGAAGGGAGGAGGAUGCCAAUGCUGAUGCCAAGACAGGCAGCCUUGACCUGGGGCAGCUCUUCCUAUAGCUGGGGUGUCCCCCACCCCCAGCGCCAGACAGCCACCUCCUGCCAGGCCUCGCAGGCCCAGGGCCUGGUGCUCAGGGCUGGCCAGCCAGGCCCUCCCUCUUAUCAGAUGAGAAGGCAAGACUCAGAGAGGAAGCUGGUUGUUCAAAGGAAGAGUCAGUGGUUGAGCCAGGAAGCGGGACCCACUUCUCCCCGCUCAGCCUUCCUCAUGCGCAGUGCCAACCGCAGCUCAAGCCACAGCCCUCGUCUAAGGAGUGUCCAGCCCCUCCACCUGCAGCUGCGUCGUGUACAUGAUGGCCUCCUGGGCACAGCGUUCCGGGGACAGGCUGCAGGUGCCACAGAGAUCAUCAAGUUUAACAGAGAACAACACAAGAAUCGAUUUUAUCACACCAACGAGACCACACACCUCUUAAGAGUAAUUCACCAGCAGGGGAGGAUGCAAACUGCUUUACGUGUGCCCCCCCCCCCCGCCCCCAACUUUAAAUAACCCGGUCUGCUGCCUGAGAAGGUGGCUCCAUUAGAGGACGUUCAGUUUGCUCUGUAAGCCCCUGGCUGAUCUGGAUGUUCAAAGAAGGGCCUAGAAGGAGUCAGGCAGGAGGGGAUGGGGAAGCUGAGCAGGCUGCCUGACACAGGGAGAAAACUGGGCCCGCAGCAGGGAGGAGAACAGGGGACUGGAGCCAGGAGACUUGGGGGCCCUGCUGGGGGAGGGCAGGUGGAAGUCUGGUGCCUGGAGGCUCUUAAAGAACCCAUGUGUGCGUGUGCGUCGGAAGCUCUUUGCCUCUCCGUCCUCCUGUCCGCUCCUCCGCAGUGAAACCCUCCAUCUCUGGGGGUGGGAGAACUGGCUUUGCAUGGAGAGAGAAGGAGGGACAGAGGCGGUACCUGAGCGUCCAGAGGGUGGCACGGACAGAGACACACAGAGGUGGGGUCCAGGGCUGAGGGGCCCUGAACCCGAGCUCCCCACCUCACCCAAAUUCUGGGUGAUCUGCAGAAAUCCUGGGGAGGGCCCUCGAUUCCUUGGAGCUGCGUGCGGGGUUUCACACUGGUCCUAGACCUCAGGGGCCUGGUGGACCCCAGCUGACCAGGUUACACCUACAUUUUCUACUGUGCCCUUUCUGUGCCACUCUGUGGGAGCCACGCCCACCUUCCACCAGGGCACCUGGGCCUCGAGGUUAGAUGACUCACCUGAGUCCCCCAGCUGACCCCACUCUGGCCGAUGGCUCUCUCAAUACUCCUGCGCAGCGCGUAGGGGGGCCAAAGCACAGGCCCUGGGGCUCCAGAGAUGUGGGUUUGACUCCUGCUCCGACCCCGACCAACUCUGUUACUUUAGGGAAAGUCAGAGUCUCAGCUUCAGUUUCUUCAUCGGUAGAGUGUGAGUUCUGAUGCAGGCACGUGCUAGAUGCUGAAGGCGUAGAAGCAUCAUUAUCAGCACUCAGCACCCAGAGCCCCAUGGAAGCCCGCCCCGAGAGAGGCUCCUCCUCCUGAGGGCGUGGCCUCCUUCCUGCCCUCCUGUCCUCUCCCUCCAUGAGGUGCUGCUUUUAGGACAAGUCUCCAAGUGCACCCUGGCUUCUCUGGCAUGUUCUGUCCCUUGAGGAGUGAGAGUCCUCCCCAGGGGAGAGGCGGCCCUGGCUGGAAGCCUGGGAAGGACCUGUGACCACGUAAAUCUCCAUGAGGGGCCUUUGGGACCAAGAUCAUGGUCAGAAAUGGGUGGGGAGGUCCCAUCAUGGCUCAGUGGUUAACGAACUGACUAGUAUCCAUGAGGAUGUGGAUUUGAUCCCUGGACUCGCUCGGUGGGUUAAGGAUCCGGCGUUGCUGUGAGCUGUGGUGUGGGUGGCAGGUGCAGCUUGGAUCCCAGGUUGCUGUGGCUGUGGUGUAGGCUGGCAGCUAUGGCUCCGAUUCAACCCCCAGCCCGGGAGCCUCCAUGUGCGUGGGUGCGGCCCUGAAAAAAAAAAAAGAAAAAGAAAAAGACAAAAGGUGUGUGGUAGUUGAGUGGCUGGUUCCCAGCUUAAAUGGCGAACGGCAGGGACCACCCACCCAACCACAGGCCAAGGACCUGCACCUAUCCUGCCUCUCUGCGCCCCCUGGCAUGGAGUUUCCAGUGUUCAGAUCGUGUUCCUGGGUCUUAGGCCUGACAGAUCAGCGCCUGUCUGGACUGGAAAAGCUGUUCUCAACAUCCCCACCCCCUGGCUUUUCUGCUCCUCUGAGCUGCAGGAAUCCAGGCCCUGGCUGGGGCUCCCUCUCUCUUCCCCUUUCUGCCUAGGGAUCUGCCCAGCCUCUGAGCAGCCACCAAACCUGCAGCACUAGGCGGUCUUGGCCUCAUGGCACUGCAGGAUUCAGUGGCCUGUGGUCCUAGCACGGAUGCCCUUCCCCAGCUUUAGGAGGGGAAGGAGGCAUCAUUACCCCUGUUUUCCAGAUGAGGCCCAAGUUUGCCCAAGUCCAUGCUGCUUGCCAUUGGGUCAGUGGGAUUUGCAUCUGAGGACUGAUUGCUGGAAGGAUCUGGAAAUGAGAAAGGGAAAGGGAGGAGGGAGGAGGGGGGUGGGGGGAAGAGAACCAGUCCUGCCUGUAAGCAGAGUGUCUGUCUUAUUUCUUGGGCAGUGGCUGCAAAUGCCAUUUAGCAUCACUCGAAGACGUGUAAAUAGCACAAAUAAUAAUAACAACACUGGUUCUAUUGGGAUUUCCUUGUGCUGGGCACAUCUAUUAACUCAUUGAAUGGAAUCGGUCCUAGAUUUGAGAUUAGAAAAUCCGCCCCUCCCUCGGCAGCUGGUCUGGCCAUCAGACCUCUGCAGACCCUGCCACCCAGCCUCCAGAGCCCGGCUGGCAUCUUGCAACACCCCCCCACCCCCCACCCCCAGCCUAGGCGUCACCUCCUCACCUGAUUCCAGGAGAGGACAGGGCAGCUCUCCCCCAGCUCCCACCUGCUGGUCUGUUGCAAUCUCCACCAGCCUCUAGGCCAUGACCUUCCUGGCCUUGGCACUGACUCUGCCAGCUUCUUAGCCUCCACAUGGGGAGAUUUCGACAGCCAGGGGGGCGGUUGGUCCAGAACCUGGCCUUAGGUUUUCUUGACCUUCCCAAGCCCCAGGACUUUCAGAUUUUCUUCAGCAAGCCACCCCCUGGCCCAAAUCUGAGACUUGACCCCCCCCUGGAAGGGCUCCAGUCUUUCAAAUCCCCCUUCAGACUGCAACUUGCCAUGCAUCUGUCUUCCC